rnacentral:rRNA from 1 species
GCAAGCCUGACGACGCAACGCCGCGUGGAGGAUGAAGAUUUUCGGAUCGUAAACUCCUGUCGAAUGGGACGAAUGGCUCGGCCGUGAAUAACGGCUGGGAAUGACGGUACCGUGAGAGGAAGCCCCGGCUAACUCCGUGCCAGCAGCCGCGGUAAUACGGGGGGGGUAAGCGUUGUUCGGAAUUACUGGGCGUAAAGGGCUCGUAGGUGGCCACCUAAGUCCGACGUGAAAUCCCUCGGCUCAACCGGGGAACUGCGUCGGAUACUGGGUGGCUUGAAUCCGGGAGAGGGACGUGGAAUUCCAGGUGUAGCGGUGAAAUGCGUAGAUAUCUGGAGGAACACCGGUGGCGAAGGCGGCGUCCUGGACCGGUAUUGACACUGGGGAGCGAAAGCCAGGGGAGCAAACGGGAUUAGAUACCCCGGUAGUCCUGGCCCUAAACGAUGAGUGCUUGGUGUGGCGGGUAUCGAUCCCCGCUGUGCCGGAGCUAACGCGUUAAGCACUCCGCCUGGG